AAACGGGGGCAGAACGUAGUCUGCCACACACCUCCACAAUUUAUUUUUCCUUUGAUUACUUGAAUAUCAAUAUUUAGGUACAAUUAAUUACAUUUUUAAGGUUUAACAUGAAUGGGGGUGAGUUUUAGACAGAGUUAUGUUAAAAGUAUUUCAACAGUAUUGCUUUGAUUUGUUUAGUAUUUUAAGCGGUUUUGUAGUUAUUUAAAACAGUGGCAUAGACUGGUAACAUUAACAUUUUACCUCCGCCAGAAGCAACAAGAUGUUUGAGGCCUCAGAAGUCAUUGCAGGUGGGUGUUUGGAGUUUUUUAUGAUCCCGAUUUGUAGCCGCUGCAAGAUGGAUUCAUUUGCAACAAUUCAUAUCGGGCGAGCGUUGCAGGGAUUUGCCGCCGGUCGUCAGUGAAAGGAAUUUGGAGAGGAGUUCCGCGCAGCUGUCUUCUAAAUAGAUCUUGGAGCCUCUGGCAUAUUUGGCGGUGGACACUGCCUGCGUUGGGGCAGAUGAGUCAACGCUUGAGAUUGGAGCUCGGUCGAAGAUCCCCGGGCAUUGCCAAGAGCGACGCGUCUUGUGGUAGUUGCGCGAGGGGUUGUUGCUCAGGGCCGCAGCGUCGAGUUUGACCAUGGAAUUGGAUACAAUAAAUAAGUACAGAUAAUUUCGGUUUGCUUUGAUGGAUGCGCUGCUGAGUGAGAUUUAAUAAUCCAUUGGAGGAUUAAAUUAGCCAUGCAAAGAGUGCCGGUUGGAUUGUUUUAGACCAGCCGAGAAAAUGUGGAAUUUGAGGACAAGUUUUUCACCGUUUUAAUGGGUCGUCAGUUCAGCGCUAAGGGUCACUACUGGCUCAGGGGCAUGUGCAGACGGAGACGGCAUUAAAAAAUUGUCAAUUUUUUUUAUUAUAAAUUGAAAAUUUUGCGAUUUUGUAUUGCGGUUGAGGUGCUCGUCUACCACUCUGCGUUGGAAGUGAAUACGGAAUAUAAUUGAGAUAAAUAUUUAUGUAUUUUAU